rnacentral:rRNA from 1 species
ACGCUCGACACCUACGGGAGGCAGCAGUGGGGAAUAUUGCACAAUGGGGGAAACCCUGAUGCAGCGACGCCGCGUGAAGGAAGAAGUAUUUCGGUAUGUAAACUUCUAUCAGCAGGGAAGAAAAUGACGAUACCUGACUAAGAAGCCCCGGCUAACUACGUACCAGCAGCCGCGGUAAUCUGAGCGGGCUGGCAAGGC